rnacentral:rRNA from 1 species
AUGUGUGUCCUCGGACUCGCUGCCAUUGAGAGGACUCGGAGGAGACAGGCCUCGCGCCUCACCUGGCUGCGCGUGGGAGAAUCAAAGUUGGCGUUCUUCCAGGCAAAGAUCAACUCGCGGCGCCAGAAAAACUUCAUCCAUGCGCUGCACACCCAAGAGUCUGUUGCCACCUCCCACGGCGACAAAGAGCGGAUCAUCCAUGAGCACUUCCGCUCCACGUUGGGUUCCUCAUCGCCUCGCACUCGUACCAUCAAUUGGGGGUCCAUCCAGCUGCCGUCCCUGCCGGCAGUCGGCCUCGAUAACCCUUUCACCGAGGACGAGGUGUGGACUGCGAUCUGCAAGUCCCCGCAGGAGAAGUCCCUGGGCCCGGACGGCUUCAACGACACCUUCUUCCGCUCGUGUUGGUCCAUCAUCAAGGCCGACGUCAUGACCGCCUUCCACCAAUUCUACAACCUCUCCAACGGCGAUUUGUCGACGAUCAACAAGGCCACGAUCAUCCUCCUGCCUAAGAAGGAUGGGGCAACAGAGAUCUCCCACUUCAGACCAAUCAGUUUGAUCCACUCAGUAGCCAAGCUUAUCUCCAAAGUUCUCUCCAUUAGGCUAGCAUCGGUCAUCGGCUCCAUCAUCUCACCGGCGCAGACGGCUUUCCUGAAAUCCAAAUGCAUCCAGACAGUUUUCUCUUCGUGCAAAACUCCAUUCGAGCUCUCCACCGCUGCAAGACGCUAG